UCAGUGAAAUGAUCAUAAGUUUGACACCUAACGAGCUAGGUGGAGGCUUGGGAAAGGAAGCGGGUCAAACAAAUCAAGAAAGGAGGAAAAGCACAAUUCGGAUGCAAUGUACUCUAUGGAAUGCCGGAAGACGAUCAAGCUCAAUGAAGAACCGAACACGAUAAAGACUCAUGCUUCCGCACAUUGCCUCGUUGUAAAUUUUAACGACGAAUCCAAUCACGUUUGUAGAAUAGCUUAUGAAUUAUAAAAGUUUUAAUUUA